CCAGCGGUUAGGCCGGGAACUCAAAGGAGACUGCCAGUGAUAAACUGGAGGAAGGUGGGGAUGACGUCAAGUCAUCAUGGCCCUUACGACCAGGGCUACACACGUGCUACAAUGGCGCAUACAAAGAGAAGCGACCUCGCGAGAGCAAGCGGACCUCAUAAAGUGCGUCGUAGUCCGGAUUGGAGUCUGCAACUCGACUCCAUGAAGUCGGAAUCGCUAGUAAUCGUGGAUCAGAAUGCCACGGUGAAUACGUUCCCGGGCCUUGUACACACCGCCCGUCACACCAUGGGAGUGGGUUGCAAAAGAAGUAGGUAGCUUAACCUUCGGGAGGGCGCUUACCACUUUGUGAUUCAUGACUGGGGUGAAGUCGUAACAAGGUAACCGUAGGGGAACCUGC
rnacentral:rRNA from 3 species